rnacentral:rRNA from 1 species
GAUGAACGCUGGCGGCGUGCUUAACACAUGCAAGUCGAGCGAAGCACUUAAGUUUGAUUCUUCGGAUGAAGACUUUUGUGACUGAGCGGCGGACGGGUGAGUAACGCGUGGGUAACCUGCCUCAUACAGGGGGAUAACAGUUAGAAAUGACUGCUAAUACCGCAUAAGACCACGGUACCGCAUGGUACAGUGGUAAAAACUCCGGUGGUAUGAGAUGGACCCGCGUCUGAUUAGGUAGUUGGUGGGGUAACGGCCUACCAAGCCGACGAUCAGUAGCCGACCUGAGAGGGUGACCGGCCACAUUGGGACUGAGACACGGCCCAGACUCCUACGGGAGGCAGCAGUGGGGAAUAUUGCACAAUGGAGGAAACUCUGAUGCAGCGACGCCGCGUGAAGGAUGAAGUAUUUCGGUAUGUAAACUUCUAUCAGCAGGGAAGAAAAUGACGGUACCUGACUAAGAAGCCCCGGGCUUAAUUACGUGCCAGCCGCCCGCGGUAAUACGUAGGGGAGCAAGCGGUAUUCCGGAUUUACUGGGGUGUAAAGGGAGCGUUAGACGGCACGGCAAGCCAGAUGUGAAAGCCCGGGGCUCAACCCCGGGACUGCAUUUGGAACUGCUGAGCUAGAGUGUCGGAGAGGCAAGUGGAAUUCCUAGUGUAGCGGUGAAAUGCGUAGAUAUUAGGAGGAACACCAGUGGCGAAGGCGGCUUGCUGGACGAUGACUGACGUUGAGGCUCGAAAGCGUGGGGAGCAAACA